UCCGUAGGCGGUGCGGCAAGUCGGAAGUGAAAUCUCGAGGCUUAACUUCGAGGCUGCUCCCGAAACUGCCGUGCUCGAGUGCGAGAGAGGCGAGUGGAAUUGCAGGUGUAGCGGUGAAAUGCGUAGAGAUCUGCAGGAACACCCGAAGCGAAAGCGGCUCGCUGGAUCGCAACUGACGCUGAGGGACGAAAGCUAGGGAGCAAACA
rnacentral:rRNA from 1 species